CCGCGUCCAGCGCCCGGAGAGCGGGGGCGGGGCCCUGGGGGCGGGCUCUGCGGCCUGUGGCUGCAGAGGGACGCAAGAGCAUAAACUGAAAUCCCACAUCCCCGUGGAGGAACUUGGAGAUAAGAUGCAAAGCGCAGCAAAUAGGAGCCACUCUUUCAGAGAUGACAGACCACCUGGUUUCGAGGAGCAGCAGACAGCGUGAAUGAAUGAAGUUGGCCAGUUCUGUGUGUUGACUGGAAUCACCUGGGAAGUUUUAGUCCUGUGAUACCACCUGGAACCACAGUAAGCAUCUGGGAGCAUCUGG
rnacentral:lncRNA from 10 species